GACGAACGCUGGCGGCGUGCUUAACACAUGCAAGUCGAACGGAAAGGCCCUGCUUUUGUGGGGUGCUCGAGUGGCGAACGGGUGAGUAACACGUGAGUAACCUGCCCUUGACUUUGGGAUAACUUCAGUAAACUGGGGCUAAUACCGGAUAUGAGCUCCUGCUGCAUGGUGGGGGUGGGAAAGUUUCGGCGGUUGGGGAUGGACUCGCGGCUUAUCAGCUUGUUGGUGGGGUAGUGGCUUACCAAGGCUUUGACGGGUAGCCGGCCUGAGAGGGUGACCGGCCACAUUGGGACUGAGAUAGGAGCCAGACUGCUACGGGAGGCAGGAGUGGGGAAUAGUGCACAAUGGGCGGAAGCCUGAUGCAGCAACGCCGCGUGCGGAAUGACGGCCUUCGGGUUGUAACCCGCUUUCGCCUGUGACGAAGAGUAAGUGACGGUAAUGGGUAAAGAAGCACCGGCUAACUACGUG
rnacentral:rRNA from 1 species